rnacentral:snRNA from 1 species
GUACUUACUUGGCAUGGGAGAUACUAUGAUCAAAAAAGUGAUUUUCCUAAAGUAAGACUUACCCAUUGCACUCUUGAUGUGCUAACCCCUACAAUUUCCCCAAAUAUGGGGAACUGGAUUCAUGCUAGUAGGGGACUAUGCUCUCCCCUA